rnacentral:misc_RNA from 1 species
AGACAAUUGUCUGUAGCCAGUUCACAGGCACUUGCAGAGGAGCAUUCGAGGAUGUUCCAAGUUGCAGGAGGCGGUGUAUUGAAGAGGAAGGAGCCAGAUGGAGUGUGGGAAGGUUAUAAGCAAUCAUCAUGGCAAUAGAGAUGCGCUUGCACAGUCUGGUCUUUCCUGUCGGAUGGGUGCACUCUCAGGAUGGUCAUCGAAUUUGUGCUCUUUAAGGAUGGUGGUAAGUGAGUUAUUUGAUGUUGAUC